rnacentral:lncRNA from 1 species
GAAGGAUGGUGAACACAAUGAUCAGAAAAUCACGUGAAAUAGGAAGCAGGAAGGGCUUAUCGGAUGGACUUUUUGGGUUUUAACUGCGGUGGCUCCGUUGGGCUUUGUCUGCGGUUUCCAGUUCACCCACCAUCCCUCUUGCUUCGAUUUGAUCACAAGGAUGCUCAUAAUCGAAUUUUGAGCGAGUAAGAAAAAUUUUAACAUUUUUUAGCGUUUGAUGGUGGCUUCAGUGCAGCGACAGUCGACGAUCGACCUCCAUAUCUGGCACCUAUUUCUUCUUCUUUGGCGGGGGCU